AGAUGUUAAUAAUUCUUGAACGGAUGAGUAUAUACUCGAAAUUCGAUAAAUCGAAUGAAAUUCAACAAUGUCAUUAACAAAGCAUUGUUUUUUAUAUUGAAAAAUUGAAAAUUUUUAUAAUUUUCUUUUUCUUCAAAUUACAAUUCAAAUUAUCAUAGUUCCACAUUUGAUUUUAUGACAAAAUCAUCUAUACUGAAUUUAUUAUUUUCAACCAGAACGAGAAUUAUAGGGUUCUUUCCAUAACUUUUUUGAUUAUUUUGUAUUUUUUACUGUUAUAGAUGAUUUUGAAAUAAUCUCACUAAUACAAUUUUACGAAAUCAUGAAAAAUUUAUAUGCAAAAAUGUAUACUUCUUUCUAAUAAUUUUUAAUUUCAUAAAAUAGAAAAAAUUAGUUUUGGCUAUAAAUUUUUUAUAAUUUCUACCUAUAUAUAACCUUAUCAAUAAUAUUGUUUCCCUUAAAUAUAAUAUUUCGUCUUUUAUUUCUUAGAAAGACACGUGUAUGAUUCCGAGAAAAAUAUUAUUAAAAGAAAUAUGUAGGUACAUAAUUCUUAUAACCGGACAACAAUAUUAUUGAGUAUUGCUUUACUAAUAGAAUAAAUUAAAAUGUAAUUCAAUUAAAUCGAUCUGAUGAAAAAUAACCAAAUUAUUCAUCGCAUGAUGAAUAUGAUCUUCUAAAAUCUGAAAUUACAACUUAAAUUCAUCAGUUCCAUUUGAAACAUUUAUUUAUACUUAUAUUGAUCAUUAUCAAUGAAUACUCUACUUUACUUCAUCAACAUAAUAAAUUCAAAUAAAAAAUUUUUAUUUUACAUUCAAAUUGGAGUGAUAAAAAAAAUUGUUCUUCUCAAAAUUAUGAUUAUAAUUGAGAAUUUAAAUGCAGCUAGAAUUCAUCAGUUAUAUUUCACAAAAAAAAAUUUAUUGGGAAAAAAUUAUUAUUUCCUUUCUUGAAGGUCAUUUUCAAUCCAUUCAGGAAAACUUAAAGAUAAAAAUACAUGUAAAAAAUAUCUUUAUUCAUUAUUAUGUAUUAUAAAUAACAAUUGUCCUUGAAAAAUUUAAAAAUCCAUAAACUGAAAGAAGACGAUUCCAUUUUGGAAAGAUAUUUUUCACUCUCUGAAUGUAGAAGUACAGAAGAUAUAUAUUACUCAAGAAAUAUGUGAAAAAUGAUCAGUUCGAAUAAUUAUAAUAUUUUAUAACUAAACAUAAAAAAAGUGAUUGAGCUGGAAGAAAAAAAUAAAAAAAGAUUACCAAUUAUUAUCGUCAGUUCUUUUAUGGACUAGGAAAGCUAUAUCAAUAUUGCUUAUCACUUCAGUAAAGGCAGAAUACAAUCAUAUAACCUUGCAAAGAAGGACAAAGGAUUAGAACUAAAUUUCAGCUGGGAUGACAUCCAUUUCGAAACGAAUUCUUCGAUAGAUUGUUGUCAAGAAUGAACCAGACCUACUACAAAUCAAGGUCAAAUCUCUUGGAUUCUUCUGUGGGAUCCUAUAUUGAUGAACAGAAUCCUUUUUAUUGGAAACUUCAUAUCAUAUCAGAGUUUCUCCACUCUGACAAUCCAGAUAGAAAACAGAGAAAUCAUCUACUGAAUUGAAAUCCACCUAGAAAAUCUAUUAUACUUCAAUGGAAUGUUGUCACGAAUAAAUCACACCAACUACAAACCAAGGUCAAAUCUCUUGGAUUCUUCUGUGGGAUCCUAUAUUGAUGAACAGAAUCCUUUUUAUUGGAAAAUUCAUAUCAUAUCAAAGUUUCUCCACUCUGACAAUCCAGAUAGAAAACAGAGAAAUCCUCUACUGAAUUGAAAUCCACCUAGAAAAUCUAUUAUACUUCAAUGGAAUGUUGUCAAGAAUAAAUCACACCCACUACAAACCAAGGUCAAAUCUCUUGAAUUCUUCUGUGGGAUCCUAUAUUGAUGAACAGAAUCCUUUUUAUUGGAAACUUUAUAUCAUAUCAAAGUUUCUCCACUCUGACAAUCCAGAUAGAAAAAGAAGAAAUCCUCUACUGAAUUGAAAUCCACCUAGAAAAUCUAUUAUACUUCAAUGGAAUGUUGUCAAGAAUAAAUCACACCCACUACAAACAAAGGUCAAAUCUCUUGGAUUCCUCUGUGGGAUCCUAUAUUGAUGAUCAGAAUCCUUUUUAUUGGAAACUUCAUAUCAUAUCAAAGUUUCUCCACUCUGACAAUCCAGAUAGAAAAAGAAGAAAUCCUCUACUGAAUUGAAAUCCACCUAGAAAAUCUAUUAUACUUCAAUGGAAUGUUGUCAAGAAUAAAUCAUACCCACUACAAACCAAGGUCAAAUCUCUUGGAUUCUUCUGUGGGAUCCUAUAUUGAUGAACAGAAUCCUUUUUAUUGGAAACUUCAUAUCAUAUCAAAGUUUCUCCACUCUGACAAUCCAGAUAGAAAAAAAAGAAAUCCUCUACUGAAUUGAAAUCCACCUAGAAAAUCUAUUAUAUUUCAAUGGAAUGUUGUCAAGAAUAAAUCACACCCACUACAAACCAAGGUCAAAUCUCUUGGAUUCUUCUGUGGGAUCCUAUAUUGAUGAACAGAAUCCUUUUUAUUGGAAACUUCAUAUCAUAUCAAAGUUUCUCCACUCUGACAAUCCAGAUAGAAAAAGAAGAAAUCCUCUAUUGAAUUGAAAUCCACCUAGAAAAUCUAUUAUACUUCAAUGGAAUGUUGUCAAGAAUAAAUCACACCCACUACAAACCAAGGUCAAAUCUCAUGGAUUCUUCUGUGGGAUCCUAUAUUGAUGAACAGAAUCCUUUUUAUUGGAAACUUCAUAUCAUAUCAAAGUUUCUCCACUCUGAUAAUCCAGAUAGAAAACAGAGAAAUCCUCUACUGAAUUGAAAUCCACCUAGAAAAUCUAUUAUACUUCAAUGGAAUGUUGUCAAGAAUAAAUCACACCCACUACAAACCAAGGUCAAAUCUCUUGGAUUCUUCUGUGGGAUCCUAUAUUGAUGAACAGAAUCCUUUUUAUUGGAAACUUCAUAUCAUAUCAAAGUUUCUCCACUCUGACAAUCCAGAUAGAAAAAGAAGAAAUCCUCUACUGAAUUGAAAUCCACCUAGAAAAUCUAUUAUACUUCAAUGGAAUGUUGUCAAGAAUAAAUCACACCCACUACAAACCAAGGUCAAAUCUCUUGAAUUCUUCUGUGGGAUCCUAUAUUGAUGAACAGAAUCUUUUUUAUUGGAAACUUCAUAUCAUAUCAAAGUUUCUCCACUCUGACAAUCCAGAUAGAAAACAGAGAAAUCCUCUACUGAAUUGAAAUCCACCUAGAAAAUCUAUUAUACUUCGAUGGAAUGUUGUUAAGAAUAAAUCACACCCACUACAAACCAAGGUCAAAUCUCUUGAAUUCUUCUGUGGGAUCCUAUAUUGAUGAACAGAAUCCUUUUUAUUGGAAACUUCAUAUCAUAUCAGAGUUUCUCCACUCUGACAAUCCAGAUAGAAAAAGAAGAAAUCCUCUACUGAAUUGAAAUCCACCUAGAAAAUCUAUUAUUCUUCGAUGGAAUGUUAUCAAGAAUAAAUCACACCCACUACAAACCAAGGUCAAAUCUCUUGGAUUCUUCUGUGGGAUCCUAUAUUGAUGAACAGAAUCCUUUUUAUUGGAAACUUCAUAUCAUAUCAAAGUUUCUCCACUCUGACAAUCCAGAUAGAAAAAAAAGAAAUCCUCUACUGAAUUGAAAUCCACCUAGAAAAUCUAUUAUAUUUCAAUGGAAUGUUGUCAAGAAUAAAUCACACCCACUACAAACCAAGGUCAAAUCUCUUGGAUUCUUCUGUGGGAUCCUAUAUUGAUGAACAGAAUCCUUUUUAUUGGAAACUUCAUAUCAUAUCAAAGUUUCUCCACUCUGACAAUCCAGAUAGAAAAAGAAGAAAUCCUCUAUUGAAUUGAAAUCCACCUAGAAAAUCUAUUAUACUUCAAUGGAAUGUUGUCAAGAAUAAAUCACACCCACUACAAACCAAGGUCAAAUCUCAUGGAUUCUUCUGUGGGAUCCUAUAUUGAUGAACAGAAUCCUUUUUAUUGGAAACUUCAUAUCAUAUCAAAGUUUCUCCACUCUGACAAUCCAGAUAGAAAAAGAAGAAAUCCUCUACUGAAUUGAAAUCCACCUAGAAAAUCUAUUAUACUUCAAUGGAAUGUUGUCAAGAAUAAAUCACACCCACUACAAACCAAGGUCAAAUCUCUUGAAUUCUUCUGUGGGAUCCUAUAUUGAUGAACAGAAUCUUUUUUAUUGGAAACUUCAUAUCAUAUCAAAGUUUCUCCACUCUGACAAUCCAGAUAGAAAACAGAGAAAUCCUCUACUGAAUUGAAAUCCACCUAGAAAAUCUAUUAUACUUCGAUGGAAUGUUGUUAAGAAUAAAUCACACCCACUACAAACCAAGGUCAAAUCUCUUGAAUUCUUCUGUGGGAUCCUAUAUUGAUGAACAGAAUCUUUUUUAUUGGAAACUUCAUAUCAUAUCAAAGUUUCUCCACUCUGACAAUCCAGAUAGAAAACAGAGAAAUCCUCUACUGAAUUGAAAUCCACCUAGAAAAUCUAUUAUACUUCGAUGGAAUGUUGUUAAGAAUAAAUCACACCCACUACAAACCAAGGUCAAAUCUCUUGAAUUCUUCUGUGGGAUCCUAUAUUGAUGAACAGAAUCCUUUUUAUUGGAAACUUCAUAUCAUAUCAGAGUUUCUCCACUCUGACAAUCCAGAUAGAAAAAGAAGAAAUCCUCUACUGAAUUGAAAUCCACCUAGAAAAUCUAUUAUUCUUCGAUGGAAUGUUAUCAAGAAUAAAUCACACCCACUACAAACCAAGGUCAAAUCUCUUGGAUUCUUCUGUGGGAUCCUAUAUUGAUGAACAGAAUCCUUUUUAUUGGAAACUUCAUAUCAUAUCAGAGUUUCUCCACUCUGACAAUCCAGAUAGAAAACAGAGAAAUCCUCUACUGAAUUGAAAUCCACCUAGAAAAUCUAUUAUACUUCAAUGGAAUGUUGUCAAGAAUAAAUCACACCCACUACAAACCAAGAUCAUUUUGCAGGUCAAAUCUCUUGGAUUCUUCUGUGGGAUCCUAUAUUGAUGAACAGAAUCCUUUUUAUUGGAAACUUCAUAUCAUAUCAAAGUUUCUCCACUCUGACAAUCCAGAUA